rnacentral:rRNA from 1 species
GAUGAACGCUGGCGGCGUGCCUAAUACAUGCAAGUCGAGCGAACGGACGAGAAGCUUGCUUCUCUGAUGUUAGCGGCGGACGGGUGAGUAACACGUGGAUAACCUACCUAUAAGACUGGGAUAACUUCGGGAAACCGGAGCUAAUACCGGAUAAUAUUUUGAACCGCAUGGUUCAAAAGUGAAAGACGGUCUUGCUGUCACUUAUAGAUGGAUCCGCGCUGCAUUAGCUAGUUGGUAAGGUAACGGCUUACCAAGGCAACGAUGCAUAGCCGACCUGAGAGGGUGAUCGGCCACACUGGAACUGAGACACGGUCCAGACUCCUACGGGAGGCAGCAGUAGGGAAUCUUCCGCAAUGGGCGAAAGCCUGACGGAGCAACGCCGCGUGAGUGAUGAAGGUCUUCGGAUCGUAAAACUCUGUUAUUAGGGAAGAACAUAUGUGUAAGUAACUGUGCACAUCUUGACGGUACCUAAUCAGAAAGCCACGGCUAACUACGUGCCAGCAGCCGCGGUAAUACGUAGGUGGCAAGCGUUAUCCGGAAUUAUUGGGCGUAAAGCGCGCGUAGGCGGUUUUUUAAGUCUGAUGUGAAAGCCCACGGCUCAACCGUGGAGGGUCAUUGGAAACUGGAAAACUUGAGUGCAGAAGAGGAAAGUGGAAUUCCAUGUGUAGCGGUGAAAUGCGCAGAGAUAUGGAGGAACACCAGUGGCGAAGGCGACUUUCUGGUCUGUAACUGACGCUGAUGUGCGAAAGCGUGGGGAUCAAACAGGAUUAGAUACCCUGGUAGUCCACGCCGUAAACGAUGAGUGCUAAGUGUUAGGGGGUUUCCGCCCCUUAGUGCCGCAGCUAACGCAUUAAGCACUCCGCCUGGGGAGUACGACCGCAAGGUUGAAACUCAAAGGAAUUGACGGGGACCCGCACAAGCGGUGGAGCAUGUGGUUUAAUUCGAAGCAACGCGAAGAACCUUACCAAAUCUUGACAUCCUUUGACAACUCUAGAGAUAGAGCCUUCCCCUUCGGGGGACAAAGUGACAGGUGGUGCAUGGUUGUCGUCAGCUCGUGUCGUGAGAUGUUGGGUUAAGUCCCGCAACGAGCGCAACCCUUAAGCUUAGUUGCCAUCAUUAAGUUGGGCACUCUAAGUUGACUGCCGGUGACAAACCGGAGGAAGGUGGGGAUGACGUCAAAUCAUCAUGCCCCUUAUGAUUUGGGCUACACACGUGCUACAAUGGACAAUACAAAGGGCAGCGAAACCGCGAGGUCAAGCAAAUCCCAUAAAGUUGUUCUCAGUUCGGAUUGUAGCCUGCAACUCGACUACAUGAAGCUGGAAUCGCUAGUAAUCGUAGAUCAGCAUGCUACGGUGAAUACGUUCCCGGGUCU